rnacentral:rRNA from 1 species
AGCCCCCCUCAAGAUGAGAUUUCCCAGUAUGUAAGACCCCUUGAAGACGACGAGGUAGAUAGGCUGGGGGUGGAAGUGCAGCAAUGCAUGGAGCUGACCAGUACUAAUCGGUCGAGGGCUUAUCCAAUA